rfam:Alistipes sp. CHKCI003 isolate CHKC3 genome assembly, contig: {contig67}
GGGGCUGACCGGUUUUGACAGCAGGCAGAGUUUGUCGGUAAGCACGCCGAGCGCUGUGUGGCGGCUCGUUAAUCCCGACGCUCAACAUUCAAAUGGCAAUAACAGCUAUGCACUCGCUGCCUAAUUUUCAAGGAAAAUUGGCUUAAUCGCGUGGCCCGAGGCGGUCGUGCGACGAGUAUCCCGAACGGCGGUUCCGCCCUUUAACCGCUGUUCAUACGGGGUAUCAUCUCUUUAGGGAUAGUCCGCCGGAGGCUUCGGCCGGCGGGCGAAACGAAGAAGCUGGGUCCCGGGCGAGGCUGCCGCCUGCCGUGAACGGGAAGAAGGAUCGAAUGGCGGCUAAGCGUGUAGAAAGCCUUCGGGCUCCCUGUUUGGACGCGGGUUCGACUCCCGCCAGCUCCACCG